ensembl:snRNA U4 U4 spliceosomal RNA
AGCUUUGCGCAGUGGCAGUAUCGUAGCUAAUGAGGUCUAUCCAAGGUGUGAUUAUUGCUAACUGAAAAACUUUUCCCAGAAUGGUGUUCAUUAAAAAGUCAGGAAACAACAGAUGCUG